rnacentral:rRNA from 1 species
UACGAACUGUGCGAACGUUAUUCGGAAUCACUGGGCUUACAGGGUGCGUAGGCGGCUUGUUAAGUAGGGUGUGAAAGCCCCCGGCUCAACCGGGGAAUUGCGCCCUAAACUGGCGAGCUGGAGUGAGAUAGGGGUGUGUGGAACUUCCGGUGGAGCGGUGAAAUGUGUUGAUAUCGGAAGGAACGCCGGUGGCGAAGGCGGUUCUCUGGGCAUUACCUGACGCUGAGGAGCGAAAGUGUGGGGAGCGAACAGG